GGAAGGUCGAGGUGGCGACUUCAGUGUGGACGCCGGUGGUGCGCUUCGGUUACGAAACCGGUGGUGCGUGCCUGAGAAUGAAGAGCUUCGCGAGCUGAUUUUGCAGGAAGCCCAUCGGUCUCCAUACGCGGAUCACCCGAAAAUUCUAAAUCUUCUGUUUUCGCUCCGAUUCGAGCACAGUUCGUUUCCAAUCUAUAUCUCACUUCUCUAAACCCAAUAAAAUAGUAUCUCAUACU
rnacentral:lncRNA from 1 species